rnacentral:rRNA from 1 species
AAUCAACGCUGGCGGCGCGCUUAACACAUGCAAGUCGCACGAGAAAGGGAGCAAUCCUGAGUAUAGUGGCGCACGGGUGAGUAACACGUGGAUCAUCUACCUCCUUGUGGGGAAUAACCCUGGGAAACCGGGGCUAAUACCGCAUACGUCCGAGAGGAGAAAGCCGAAAGGCGCAGGGAGAGGAGUCCGCGGUCGAUUAGCUAGUUGGCAGGGUAAUGGCCUACCAAGGCGACGAUCGAUAGCCGGCCUGAGAGGGCACACGGCCACACUGGCACUGAAACACGGGCCAGACUCCUACGGGAGGCAGCAGUGGGGAAUAUUGGACAAUGGGGGAAACCCUGAUCCAGCAACGCCGCGUGGAGGAUGAAGGUCUUCGGAUUGUAAACUCCUGUUAGGGGGGACGAAGGGAUGCCGGCGAACAGUCGGCAAACUUGACGGUACCCCCAGAGGAAGCCCCGGCUAACUCUGUGCCAGCAGCCGCGGUAAGGCACGACUGU